rnacentral:misc_RNA from 1 species
GCAAACUUGGUCAUUUAGAGGAAGUAAAAGUCGUAACAAGGUAACCGUAGGUGAACCUGCGGUUGGAUCAUUAACAAAAUGCGAUUGUGGCUCUCUGCUUGGGAGGCCAUGAAUCCAAACCCCAUGUGCACCGUAUUUGUAUUUGGCAAGUUAUGCAUGCCUUGCAGCGAAAUUCGGCUAUGAGUUUGCGUUUAUGGCAUGUGCAGAGUUUCAAUGCGGCGCUUGUUUGCCAGUAUUGAAAGCUUGCCAAUGAUUUUAAUAAACAUUGUUGCUUAUCAAGUCUGAGCAUUCAAUUAAACAAAAAUUGUUAAAACAACUUUUGGCAACGGAUCUCUUGGCUCUCGCAUCGAUGAAGAACGCAGC